rnacentral:rRNA from 1 species
GAUGAACGCUGGCAGCAUGCUUAACACAUGCAAGUCAACUGUGGCGGACGGGUGAGUAAGGCGUAAAGAACUUGCUCCACGGAUAGGGACAACAUUUGGAAAGGAAUGCUAAUACCUGAUACUGUGAGAGAGCUUUGCGUCCCAGUAGCUAGUUGGGGAGGUAACGGCUCACCAAGGCGAUGAUGGGUAGCCGGCCUGAGAGGGUGAUCGGCCACAAGGGGAGUGGGACACGGCCCUUACGCCUACGGGAGGAAGCAGUGGAGAAUAUUGGACAAUGGACCAAAGUGUGAUGCAGCAAUUCGGUGUGCACGAUGAAGUUUUCGGAAUGAAAAGUGCUUUGAGUUAGGAAGCGGUACCAACAGAAGAAGUGACGGCUAACUACGUGCCAGCAGCCGCGGUAAUAC